rnacentral:rRNA from 1 species
GACGAACGCUGGCGGCGUGCUUAACACAUGCAAGUCGAACGGAAAGGCCCUGCUUUUGUGGGGCGCUCGAGUGGCGAACGGGUGAGUAACACGUGAGUAACCUGCCCUUUACUUUGGGAUAACUUCAGGAAACUGGGGCUAAUACCGGAUAUGAGCUCCUGCUGCAUGGUGGGGGUUGGAAAGUUUCGGCGGUUGGGGAUGGACUCGCGGCUUAUCAGCUUGUUGGUGGGGUAGUGGCUUACCAAGGCUUUGACGGGUAGCCGGCCUGAGAGGGUGACCGGCCACAUUGGGACUGAGAUACGGCCCAGACUCCUACGGGAGGCAGCAGUGGGGAAUAUUGCACAAUGGGCGGAAGCCUGAUGCAGCAACGCCGCGUGCGGGAUGACGGCCUUCGGGUUGUAAACCGCUUUCGCCUGUGACGAAGCGUGAGUGACGGUAAUGGGUAAAGAAGCAUCGGCUAACUACGUG